rnacentral:rRNA from 1 species
GGAUCCAGACUUUGAUCAUGGCUCAGGACGAACGCUGGCGGCGCGCCUAACACAUGCAAGUCGAGCGGGAAGCUUUUAAGGAUUCUUCGGAUGAAUUAAAAAUUGAGAGCGGCGGACGGGUGAGUAACGCGUGAGAAACCUGCCCUAUACAGGGGGAUAGCCAUUGGAAACGAUGAUUAAUACCCCAUAUGACCACAGUAUCGCAUGAUACAGCGGUGAAAACUCCGGUGGUAUAGGAUGGUCUCGCGUCUGAUUAGCUAGUUGGUGGGGUAACGGCCUACCAAGGCGACGAUCAGUAGCCGGCCUGAGAAGGUGACCGGCCACACUGGAACUGAGACACGGUCCAGACUCCUACGGGAGGCAGCAGUGGGGAAUAUUGCACAAUGGGCGAAAGCCUGAUGCAGCGACGCCGCGUGAACGAUGAAGGCUUUCGAGUCGUAAAGUUCUGUUCUUGGGGAAGAUAACGACGGUACCCAAGGAGAAAGCACUGGCUAAAUACGUGCCAGCAGCCGCGGUAAU